rnacentral:sRNA from 1 species
UAGCGAUAUACGUGCGUUCGGUUGCU